AUGAUGUGUGCUGGAGGUGGUGAUGUGUGGAGGUGAUGCUGUGUGCUGGAGGUGGUGAUGAGUGGAGGUGAUGCUGUGUGCUGGAGGUGGUGAUGAGUGGAGGUGAUGCUGUGUGCUGGAGGUGGUGAUGAGUGGAGGUGAUGCUGUGUGCUGGAGGUGGUGAUGAGUGGAGGUAGUGAUGUGUUAGCGGUGAUGAGUGGAGGUGAUGCUGUUUGCUUGUGGUGGUCAUGUUAGCCGGUGGUGGUGAUGUAUGCUUCUGGUGGUGACCGUGCUGUGCUUGUGGUGUUGAGGUGGUGAUGAACUUGCGGAGGUGGUGAAUAGCCGCCCACUAGCCCCUAUUAUUCCCUGUCCCCGCCCACCAAAACCUUAUAACCAUAUU